rnacentral:rRNA from 1 species
AGAGUUUGAUCCUGGCUCAGAUUGAACGCUGGCGGCAUGCCUAACACAUGCAAGUCGAACGGCAGCACGGCAGUAGCAAUACUGUGGGUGGCGAGUGGCGGACGGGUGAGGAAUGCGUCGGAAUCUGCCCAGUUGUGGGGGAUAACUAGCCGAAAGGUUAGCUAAUACCGCAUACGACCGAGAGGUGAAAGCGGGGGACUUCGUAAGAGGCCUCGCGCGAUUGGAUGAGCCGACGCCGGAUUAGCUAGUUGGUAGGGUAAAGGCCUACCAAGGCGACGAUCCGUAGCUGGUCUGAGAGGAUGAUCAGCCACACUGGAACUGAGACACGGUCCAGACUCCUACGGGAGGCAGCAGUGGGGAAUAUUGGACAAUGGGCGCAAGCCUGAUCCAGCAAUGCCGCGUGUGUGAAGAAGGCCUUCGGGUUGUAAAGCACUUUUAUCAGGAACGAAAAGCGGAGGGUUAAUACCCAUCCGUGCUGACGGUACCUGAUUAAUAGACCGAUCCAU